ensembl:lncRNA
CGACCGGGCGCCGUGACGGGCGCUGCCCGCGUGUGCCCCCCGGCCCGCGGAGCCCCGGCCGCCGGGUGAAGGGCCGGGCUGGGGGCUGCCCGCGGUGCGAAACACCUCCCGUCUGCCCCGGUGGAUGUGCUUAGAUACAAAUGUUUAUAUCCGCGGAUAUGCGAGUAUCCGGCUAUUGUCGCAUCCAGCUACUAAAUAACAACCCUUUAACAAAAAAAAAAAAAAAAAAAAAAAAAGGAAAAAGAAAAAAGAAAAAAAAAAUCCAAAACAAAACACCCCACACAAGCCAUAACGACGAUGAUGAUGCUGACGGGAGGGGGGGGGAAAUAAAUAAAUAAAAGCGAGCGAGAGUCGGCGAGGGAGAGGGAGGCAGGUUCAAUUAUCUAAACAAAGAAAUCAUGGCGGAGUGUUUACAUUUGGCUGCCCAAAGCCUGUCGGAUUACGGACCCCCCCCAAACACACCCGGCCCCCCCGGCCCCCCGCAGUAGCGGCGUGCCGCAGCCCGCCCGCCGACACCUCGCCGCGGCCCGGAGUCUGAAACAGCUGCUUUGAAGAGAUCUUUCACAUGAAUGACUAGGCUGUGAAUUGCUAAGUUCCUGGUUUGCUAUGGAUACAACUGUUUCAUUUUCCUGCUGCUGCAUCCUGUUAUUCUUCCCAAGAUUUUUGUGCAGAACAGGGCAGAGAGAACUCACCUGCAGCCAGUGGAUUUGACUGUUGAUAAGAAGGAACAGAUGGCAGCACCAUUCUGUCUCAGCACCAAACACUGUCUGGGAGAUGUAUGCAAUGUAAAAAGCAUCCCUGUGUGGAGAAGCAGAUAGUGCUCCUGCAAAGGGGUUAUGAGAAAGGGUGGAAAUUCUGAUACCUUUUAUUAGAAUUGCACAGAAGUAGGAGAAUCCUCACAGAGUCGCAGACUCCUUUCUCUGUUGCCUUUGAAAAGUUAACACAUGUGAGGCUAUGCAAGAAGCAGACACUACAGUGGAGGAGGAGGGAUGUGGCAAUAAAGGACAAGAGGAAACCAGGAACAAGCUGUUGAUCUUCUCUGUAAGUUUCAUUAGCUCUCUCACGUCCCCUCCUUUAUUUCUCUUCAGUAAAGUAGUCAGCCUCAGUCUUCACAGACUUUCCUUCAGCCACUAAUCAUUUUUGUUGCCCCUUUCUAUUUCAGCUUUAUGUUUUUUUUAGAUGAGUUGAAUGUAGCUUAAUACAGGAUUUCUGACAGGAUACAAUAUCCAGCUAUUCAGUGACGUAACACUUGAGCAUUAAUUUCUGUCUCAUUCUUUAUACAGUCCAACAGUGUAUUUACUUUUUCUGACCACUGCUUCCAGUUGUUUUGCUUUUUCAUUGAGCUGUCCAAAGUGGCACGUUUUCUCCUCCUUCUCUUUUUCCCGAGUGGCUAGUUAAUUUACAGCCAAGCGUUGUGCAUGAGUAUUGAAAAUUAUUCAUUCAAAUGUGCAUUACCUUGCAUUUAUGAACAGUGAAUUUCAUCUGUCUUCAUGCUGCGCAUCUGUCUAGUUUUUCUAAUCUUUUGUAAUCAUAAGUAACCUAAAUAUUUUUGCGCCCUGUGCAAAUUUUAUCCCCUUCCCCUCUCUUUUGCAGAAUGCUAAUGAAUAUAUUAAACAACACCAGUCCUAAUACUGACUACUGCAGCACUUUAUGGUGAGCCUUUUAGCAAGCUAGCAAUCAACAAUUUAUUUCUACCCUUUUGUUUCUGUCUUUGGCUGUCUUUGUUUAACAAACAUUUAUUUUCAAAGCAUUACUAUUUCCAAGUGUUCUGUUGAGAGCCCUCCCACAGAGUGCAGGGACAAAUGCAUGACUCUGACCCCACAUGUCCAGUGACAUCUAACACUGAUGCUCUAAAUACAGUGUUUGCAGGGCUGCUAAGGCUACAAGCAGGUCAACUCCACUGCAGAGCAGUAGACUUGAUUAGUCUCUGGAAAUAGAGAUGCAGGUACUGGCAGAUUUGACUCAGCCUAUUCCAUAUCCAAAAAGAAAAGGGAGAGGUGAGAGAGACUGAUUUAUGCAGCUUGCUGAAAAGAGACUUCUUUUUCUUUUUUUAAACCCUGGCUGUAAAAACAAAACUGCUGCCCAGCCAGAGUAAGCAGUCAUAUACCACAGGUCCCCUUACAGUAAGACUGAUGUUCUGCACUGAGGUUCAAGGAGCAAAACAAAUAACCCUGCUCCCAGUGCCAUGAUUUGAAUUUGCUUUCGGCCAGUUGGUUACCAGCUUUCAAGGGACCAUUGACAUGCCUAUGGUGCUGCCUGGAGCAAAUUGCAACAUAUUUGGUGCUGAAACAUGCAUUGUGUAGUGAUUAUUAUUAUCCUCAUAACCUCUGUUUCAUAUUUGAAUGCUGCUGGGACAUGGAGAACAAUGGUCAUCCCUUGCUUUGUUUUUCUUGCUUGGCUUUAAUGGCUGGGGUUUGAUUUUGUCAACAGACAGUACUUGUAACUUUUGUGAGCUUUAGUUUCUUCCAGCCAUUGAAAUUAAUUGUCUUGUAGCUCUUUGUCAGACAGAGAUGUGUUCGCUUUGUGAAUUGGAAAUUGAGAGAUGGAAGUAUUCUGACAGCUCCCAGGGAAGGAUGGAAACCCUCCUAUUCACAACCUACUCAUCACAGCACUGGGGAGAAGAUUCAUGUACCUAGUGCGACAGGAGGGGCAGAGCAGGGCAAGGACGUGGCAGCUUGCAUCAUUCCCCUGCUGCUGGCAAGGCAAGUCCCUUGCCACCAGCCACUCUCUGCACUCAGUUCCCCGCAGGGCUCCGUUUCCUGCCCUCACUCCUUCCUGUGCUUGAGUGGUGGCUCCUACCUUAAAGCAGCUAUUUUCAAGUUUUAAUAAUGUUUUGCAACUCAUUUCCUGUUUCUUAGCUGACAGCCUUUCCAAAAGUAAUCUUUGGCAGGUACUAAUUUGGGUGAUGACCACUUGAUCUACAUUUUUGGUGGGUAAUUACUGAGUCAGAAGUGAGCAAAUUUGAUAUCCCCUGACAGUCAGUAAGGCGGGCAUAUUUACUACCCACUCAUUAAAGAUUCACUGGUGGUGAAAUGCCCUAAAGUUUGCACUCCUCUCACACAUGAGAAAAAUUUGUCUGUUAAGUCCCAGAAGUUACCACUUACGUUUAUUUUGUCAGAUUUACAGAGUCUAAGAUAUGUUGGCACUUUGAAAAACAACUUUUUUUAAGACCAGAUACCUUGGUGUAAUGAAACUACCACUAGAUCAAAAGUCCAAUUGUAUCUGAGGCUGGAUAGCAUCCUGCAUCCCAUAACAAAUCUGUUCCACAGACAUGUUGUUUUACAGUGAUAACUGAAUCUCAAAAAUUUGGAGGUCUGAUUUGCACAAAUGCUGAUAAGUUCGCAAACCAAUGCCGAGCUCCUACAGCCACCAGAGCCAGGUUCAUUGGAAUGCUCUGGCAGCUUUGCUUCACUCUAGUGAUACAAAGCAGCUGUAAAUCCGGUUGUGCUGGCCUUACGUUGUCAGAAUGGCCAGAGUGUACCAGUGAGUCCUGCCCUCUGUACUGCUAUUGCAAUGAAAUUGGGCUGGGUAUCUACAAAGGGAAAAGGGAGGCUGUUCUGAGAUUAUCAGCACAGCUUGCUUCCUUGCAUUACUUUAGUACUAGUGUCUGCUUCCUAUAAGAUCCUGUGCAAAAGCGAGCGAAAAGAAAACAUAAUGUGGGAAGAAAUAGCCAGACUUCUUUUCAAAUGUCAAAUGUCAAAGAAAUUCAGAUUUAUUUUGAGUUUUAGAAGAAAUGUGGGAAAGGAAUAUUUGCCAGAUUCUUGCCCUCCCCUCCUGGCUUCUAUGAACUACCUUUCAAUUCCCUCUUCCCCAGUAAGUUUUCCCAAAUUGUAGAGAUCAAGUCCCUACUGCAAAUCCUCUGAGAAGUCACUUAAGUAGAUUGAGAAUCUAAAUGAAACUCAAUCUUUGUUUCUGAAGCAAGAAGUAGCUGGUAGAGUGUCUAGUUUUUUCCACUUUCCUUCCACGGUACCUAAAGAUAUUGAAGCUAUUAUGAACGUGACAAGGUACAAUACUUGCCUUAAAACCUCCAACAAUACCGUUUGUCUCCAUCUUACAACUUAUUCCUCAGCAUGGGCUGAGAACUUUUCCUGACCACUUGCACUUCCAGCUGUCCAUCAUUUGGCUUGUGCAUUGGUGUGCAUGCUCAGUCCCCCUCAGCUGUGCUUGUGGCAUCAUCACCUUUAUGACAGCACUGAGGAUAGAAUCCACAGUGCUUAGUAUGUGGCUCUUCAGGUUUCUUGUGAGCAAUAUUGAUUAAAUUCAUUUAGUCUCUUAAUGUGGUUUAAAUACAUAGGGUUGGUUGUCUGGUCCGUAUGCAGAGAGGACAGAAAACAGAUCCCCUAGAAUUCCAUCAGAAUUCAUUAGGGUUUUGAUGAAUAGCAACUGCUAAGAAAUUGUCUCCCAGGACUUGGAAAUUAGUCAGUACCGAACCAUACAGAUGUCAAAUCACCUAAAGAGAAAACUGAGAAAAGCUGGCUGAGAGAAUAAUCUGUUACUGAAAUCUGCAGAAUUGGUUUUUAAGGAAAAACAGAUAGAAAGAAAGAAAGAAAGAAAGAAAGAAAGAAAGAAAGAAAGAAAGAAAGAAAGAAAGAAAGAAAGAAGGAAGGAAGGAAGGAAGGAAGGAAGGAAGGAAGGAAGGAAGGAAGGAAGGAAGGAAGGAAGGAAGGAAGGAAGGAAAGAAAGAAAGAAAGAAAGAAAAAAAGAAAGAAAGAAAGAAAGAAAGAAAGAAAGAAAGAAAGAAAGAAAGAAAGAAAGAAAGAAAGAAAGAAAGAAAGAAAGAAGGAAAGAAAGAAAGAAGGAAAGAAAGAAGGAAAGAAAGAAAGAAAGAGAAAGAAAGAGAGAGAGAAAGAAAGAAAGAAAGAAAGAGAGAGAGAAAGAAAGAAAGAAAGAGAAAGAAAGAAAGAAAGAAAGAAAAAGAAAGAAAGAAAGAAAGAAAGAAAGAAAGAAAGAAAGAAAGAAAGAAAGAAAGAAAGAAAGAAAGAAAGAAAGAAAGAAGGAAAGAAAGAAAGAAGGAAAGAAAGAAGGAAAGAAAGAAAGAAAGAGAAAGAAAGAGAGAGAGAAAGAAAGAAAGAAAGAAAGAGAGAGAGAAAGAAAGAAAGAAAGAGAAAGAAAGAAAGAAAGAAAGAAAAAGAAAGAAAGAAAGAAAGAAAAAGAAAGAAAGAAAGAAAGAAAGAAAGAAAGAAAGAAAGAAAGAAAGAAAGAAAGAAAGAAAGAAAGAAAGAAAGAAAGAAAGAAAGAAAGAAAGAGAAAGAAAGAGAAAGAGAAAGAGAGAAAGAGAAAGAAAGAGAGAAAGAGAGAGAGAGAGAGAGAAAGGAAGGAAGGAAGGAAGGAAGGAAGGAAGGAAGGAAGGAAGGAAGGAAGGAAGGAAGGAAGGAAGGAAGGAAGGAAGGAAGGAAGAAAGACAGGAAGAAAGAAAGACAGGAAGAAAGAAAGACAAAGAAAGAAAGGAAGAAAGGAAGAAAGGAAGAAAGGAAGAAAGAAAGAAAGAAAGAGAGAGAGAGAAAGAAAAAUACCCUCUGGUAUUUCCAGUCCCUGGGAUUGGACAUCCCACUUUCUUGGACUUGUAAAGAGCUUUCAGAGGGAGUAUGUGCAUAUGAAAUUAGCAGGGAGAAUAUUGAUUGUAGUCACUGAAUUUGAUUUCAUGGUUUGGAUUGAUUCAGUCUAAACACAUUGAGUUUGAAGGAUAUUCAACCACUUAUUUCUAAGUGGCAUUUUAUAAAAAUAUUACCCUGUAUUAACCCAGUGAACAGUAUUGUAAGUGGCACAGUUUAUGUUUAUUACACUUAUUGAACAGGCUCAAUAUUUCAUAUAAAAUAUAUGGUGGCAAUGGGAAAAAAUGCUUGUAAUUCUUCAAAACUGUAUCAGUCACUUCCUUCAUUGAACAUCCUGUCAAUAUGUGUGCUGUAUCGAAAGUAAAAUAUGCACUAAUCUAUAUAAUUGGCAAUGUGAUUAUCUUUUUAAUUGUGAAAACUAUGUAUGUAUCUUCUGUUUUGUGGUGAGGAAAAAAAAAAACAUCAAAAUAUCACCCUGUGUGAAGAAUGGCAAGGCAUGUUAUUUGGAAAGCCUUGUUCUAGUGAUCACCAGUGCAAGCAGUGCUGGUGGGCACCUGAACCGGUGGGACUGGGCUCCAAAUCCAGUUGGAGUUGCUGUGGGAUCCUUGUAUACCCACAUAAGAAGCAGGGCUGCUUUCUGGCACAGCUGCCCCCACAUGAUUUAAAUACAUGUUGAUUCUUGAGUGUGUUGUGUCCAUUAAAUGGAUGUAUUUUCCAAGUUAGGCAGCAUAUGCAAAUCAAGAACCUCAAGAAAAUUAAAAUAACCAUCUACAAAACAGACCAAAAAAAGUUCAGUUUUAUAUUUUUCUAAAACUGCUGUGUUUCAUAUUACCACAGCUUCCCAAAUUUCAAAUCCAGAUCAAAAUUUCUGUCAUCAAAGACUUUAGCAGUGGUCUGAUCUUUUUAUUUUUAUUUUUACUUUUUUUUUUGUCCUUUUUUUUUUAUUAUUUAAAUCUGUUUUACUCUGUUAUUCUGAAGCUUCUGUGAGAUUUCCCCUAGAUUUUUUUUCCACAGGCAGAAGCCACCAUUUAUUUGCAUUUUAACCUAAGACUGGAUUUUGAACCUGAAAUUCAAGAUUACAUUCAAAAUACUGAUGUUUCCAAUCACAGAAAUAAUUAUCAAAUGUAAAGCUGAUCCAGAAUUAAUUUUGGAUUUGGGCCACCGUCAAAUUCCACAGGUUCUUAUAUCUGCUCCAGAUAGAUCAGGAAAAUGCUCUUGAAGCUUCAGGGCUAUGUAUAUGAACUUUCUUAAGCAAAGGAAAUGAUAAUGUAUAAGAGGAAGUAAAACGAUAAAAUAAAGUCCAGAAUUACAUAAAACAAAACCAAAAACCCAAACAAAAACCUGUGUGCACUUUAUAGACUGUAAGACUUGCUCUGCCAUUGCUGCUUGGGAGAAACAAGGCAAUGCAGGUCUAGUGAAAAUCAUCCAUCAACAAAACCUCUGCUCGAGCACAUCCUUUUUGCAGUUGGUGUUAGUUGAAAGUUAGUGUUUUCUCUCCAUGUUUUUACAUGCUUCAGCACCUCUUGGUUUAAAUAAGGGAGGGGAACACUCAAGUAAUAUCGUAUCUCUGAUUCUGUCAGGAGAAGGAAAUCCUGAAGACCUCACUCCUGAAAGUUUAUCUGAAAUAAGCCCUAUUUGAAGGUUCAUUCAACUUGCCUCAUUGUACAGCUGUUAUUAAUGUGAUUAAAUGACAGUGAGUACAUAUGUAAAAACCCAACCUCUGUUUCUUGUGUCUAUAAAUCUCAAUUCAAUAAAAAAGGAGAAAGGAUUCUUAAAAUCCAAAGAAAUAUCACAUAUAGCUCUUCUGCCUUUAUUUGGUAUGACAGCACUUUAUUUCCUUGAACAGACCAAUGUGGUGAAAAGGAUUCUAAAACAAUACUUCUGUAUAACCUAUCUGCUAAAGCUGCUGUGAAAUUCCAGUUUUGUGUAUUUAACCUCCCUGUUUUUAUCUUCACUGGAAUAAUUCUAAAACAACUUCAGUUGUUCUUCCCUAAAAAUUGUAAUCUCAUUAUUCUUUUUUUCCCCUCCCCUCUUUUUUCUCUUGUACAGUUAUCCAGUAUUCAGCUGAAAUGCAGAGUCAUUACAGCAGGAGGUGCUGAGCAGACUGGUGAUCUGGAGUGGUGAUGGUGAGCCAUGGUCCUGGGUGCCUCUUUGCUGCACUCUUUCUUCACAUUCCUGCAGCCUGGGUGGAUAUUGUCAUUUCUGCAGCACUUCAGAGACAUCUGAAGGGGAGCUUAUAGACAGUAUGUUGGGUGUUUUAAUGUGGUAAGAUGAUGGUCUGUGUCUGGAAAAGUUGCUAACAUGAGCUUGACAAAUAAUUUGUAGUUAAUAACUUAUUUUUUAUUUUUCACUUUCCUUUUUUUGGCAAAUAGUUUGCAGACUCAUAAAUUUGCUGUAAAUAACUCCUAAGAGCAGGAAGCAGUACAGCAUUUCUUGAAAAACUCAGAAUAGCAAAAGAAUGUGACAAAUUCAGUAGCUGAGCCAUCAGGAUACAGAGAGCAGGUAUCAAGCUGUGCCAUAUGUACAGUCACGGUUGGCUUGGAAAGUCUCCUCUCAUAAAACCAAAUUGUUCCACUAGGAAGUAAAGCCAGAAGCUUUUUGCCUACAAAAUUAAAUUGUUCUCUUUUUCCCAAACCAAUUGCAUUUUUGUUGUUGUUGUUGUUUUGUUUAAUGAAACACCAGGCAGAGUCUCAUUUUUCUCCUCCAGUUCUUGUCUUUUCCCUCUUACUUCACCCCUUCCCGGCCCACCUUCCACCUCAGGGUAGAAGGAAAAUCUCAUCUUCUUUUUAGGUUCUUUAUCUUUUCCUCUCUGAGACAGUGUCAUCUAACCCUCACUGCCUUCCACCACUGCAAAGUAAGGAGAAAUGGAGGGGGGACCUGGAGAAAUGGAGGACUUGAACUGCCCAGGUUGCUCAGCAGGUGACAGAGCUGAGCCCUGCAGACCCUAGCUCUGCAGAAAUAGCUCAAGCAAGCAAGAGAUUAGAUGCUUUAUUUCCCUACAGUGGUGCAUUUCAAUUGAUGCCUAAACUAAAAGGCAUCUAAGGAGAUAGGCCUGCUUACUGUAAAAUAGGAACUAAGAAGUCAUCAGUACAUAAAAACUGCCUUUGUCCUUAUGAAUAUGAAACUCUCUCAGCCUACGAAGCCUGUGGAGGAAUCAAAAGUUAACAUUUUCUCCUCUAUCCUUCUUCUGGGCAUUAGACUCUCCAGGUGUGUGGAAGAUAGCAUUGAUAGGAUUUGGUCUUUACUUGGUCUUAAUGCACUGUUAGGAUUCAUCAGAAAUAGUGAGGAAUCCACUGCCUGCUACUGUAGAACUGUUUUGCUAAUGCCUUCCUGUCUCAAACCAAGCCUUCCAAGGCUUCUUCUGUGCAGUGCCAAUCAGGUGCCCUUCUGGGCCAAUCCUGUCCAGCUACUGGGGGUACUAGUGUAAAGAUGAUGGGAAAAGAUUUCUCUGUGAUUUCCAAACAGAUAGGAAGUUGGGUUUAAUAGUGUAACGCAGACGGUGAUUUUGUUGUCUCAUUCAUGUAGUGUCCCUCAUGAUAAGAACAUUUGCCUUAGUAUGCACAUUGCUUUCUUUGAAGACUGCACACAGUGUGGAUUUGUUUUGAGUGUAUUCCUCCUAUGUCACUGCACAGUGUUUUACGCAUUACUUCAGUCUUUUGGUACCCAAGGAUUCAGAUCAGCCAGGAGAGAGCAGCCCUAGAACUAGAGGCAAAAUGCAUGCACAGUAUUACUGGCAAUACAAUAGUUAUUUCCUCUUCUUAGUACAAAGGGAGACCAGCAGCAUCUCAAACAGCAGUAUGUCUUCUUUCUGACAUGCUGCAGACUGAAAGGAGCAGCGUGCCUCCAUGGUCCUGUGCCACUGCAGCUACAGGUGUUGGCUGGGCAGCUGGGUCCUGCUCUUACUGUUGGAGAUCAAUGAGGAGCUGCCGCUACUGUCGUUUGCUUCCCUAGUUUCUGCAGACUCUCCGUGUCAGGUCUGGUAUCAGACUGGGAGCACUGGAGAAUAUACUCAAGGGGGCAGCCAUUCCCCAUACAAAUGUGCCGCUGGGGCAUGGCUCCCGGCAUUGUGGGGCAGUGGGGCUGCAUGGGAAGGCUCCCAUGGCUCCAAGUGAGAAACUGUUUUCUCUAUGGAAGUGACUUGGUUUGAGGAAAGGAGGAAGGAGAAUAGGGGAUGCACACACACACAAAAUAGUUGGGGCAAAAGGCAUAGAUGAUUUGAUGGGAACUGGGGUAGAUUUGAUCUCAGUGUGUGAGGAUACAGGCUGGUAUACGUACACAGGAAUGCCUUCUGUACUUUCUAAUAUAUUUAAUGUCACCAAUAACUGAUGGUGAGUCAAACAGAAGCAGAACUCAAUAAUAAAUAUUUUGAGCAUAAGUAGCCUACUGUGAGGCAGUUCUGAUGUAACAAUCUGUGCAAUUAACCAAAUUCUCUGUCUGUGAAUAUGCUGCCUUUCCAUAAAUGAGCCCCAUGUCUAGUAUUCAGAUUUAUCCUGCCCUUCACAUGUGGUCAGUGAGAUCAAUUAAUAGCAACCUCAAAGCAUGCUGUAUUGAGAUCUUUCUAUCUCUGCACGCCAUGCAGAAUAGUUGCUAUGUCUUGUAGCGGAUAUAGAAAAAAGUGGAAUCAUUCAUAAUUGCUAAAGGCCAUCAAGUAAAAAUUGCGUAUGACACUGAUGGGGUUGAAAUAUGGCCUUCAAAUGUUUUUGAUACAUAAAUGAUAGCCACAAAGUCAUUCCGAUCUUCUGCAGUGAUAUAAGAUGCUCUGAGAUGCAAGGAAAGAAAGCACGGCACUGAUAUAGACCAGCCUGUGUCUGUGCUUUGCCCCCAGAGCAGCCUGACAAGCAGAAGAGCAUUCUGCUGACCAUCUUUAGAGCCUGGCAGCUUCUUUUGUUACUGCCACAAUAAUAUUGCUCUUCAUACAGUGUUGGCUCAUUUGUGUUUUCAACAUGCAAAUCAAAGUAAAGCCAUUUUCCUCUGCUUCCCUCAAAAAACUCUUUAACCUCUUGAAUUUAAUAAUCAGCGUAAACGUAUGAAGAUAAAACAUACAAGAUGCUCAUGGUACAUCACUGCCACUUAGCAAGUGUCAUGUAUUUGUGAGCGUGCAUGUAAGGCAGAAAGAAAGCAUAUGUAUUUCUUGAUUCUGCUUUGGCUGUGCUGGUUUUGUGUCACCUCUUACAUAAAAUAAUAACAAAGUGAACACAACAUUGAUUGCAUUCAUUUGUAUCCGUGAAAGCAUUGAAAAGGAUUAUUUAUUUCUCUUUCCGUAUGUGGUCAAAACAAAAUGAUAAACAGCACAUAGGGAAUAUUGAGUGUCUCUCUCUCACACACACAAAAUAAAUAAAUAAAUAAAUAAGAGGGAGAAAAAAGAGAUGCAAUAUAUCUCUCAGUAAAAAUGUAGAAUUAGGGAAAAAAUAAAAAAGAUUGUAGGCAGUAAAUAGACAUCAAUUCCUCUGACUACCACAAUAGAAGCUAACACCCUGGGUGCUAUCUUUUGUUAAGAGGCAUCAAAUUGUUACGUAAUUUAACAGCCCAAUUGGCAAGACACAUUUGAGCUAAAGUAAGGUGUGUGUACAGUUUGUCAGAUUCCAGGAAUAAUCAUUUGAUGCUAAUCCUUUUACUUUUCACAGCCGUCUUUACACUAUACUUUCCCUUCAUGUUUGCACUAUCUGAAAUUGUUGGGUGGCUACAAGUAUAUUUUUUGCAUGCAUGUGAUAAAUUUAAUUCAUAAUUAACCACCCAGAUUAAGACAUCUAGGCAGGCUGAAGAAUCUUCAGAUGUCGUUAAUUGUUUUCUGUGGUAUGUGCUCCUUUUAAAGUUUUAAUCAUCACCGAUUGAAUCUGAGGACCUCUUUUUUUAUAUAUGUAGGAUUGUUUUUGCAAACCUACAAAUGGGUUGCAAUGAAAUAGCUGAGCUUUUCAGAUAUUGUAAUGGGGAAAGAUGCAGUCAUUUCUGUAUACCCCUUUUUGGGACACUGUGUUAAAACGACGUGAUUAGAGUACAUACGGUGGCAUGUAUGCUUGCUGUUGUUUCAGAUGCAUUGGGCAUUUAUUAAGAAAGAUCAUCUCUGAGCACUGCUGACAUACCAGCUCUUUUUUUUUUUUUUUUUUAGGUGCUAAAAUAAAGCUGAGGUCUUUUUAAACUCUGGAGAAUACUGAGCACUUGAAAAUGUAUCUGUGAGCUCAUCUGAAAGUUUGGUCCAUAAUGAGAAAGCAAUGCAAGUAGCAAUAAUGUGACACUUCAUUAAAAACCUUUUGAAUAUAAAGUAUUAUGAAUUGUGAUUCUUACAGAAUUGCAGAAAAUGUGCUUUUUAUUACGGGACAGCAUGUGACAUCCACACAUCAACAGAACCCUUGGAAAAAAAAAAAAUCUGACUGCUUCCAAAGUAAAUCACUGCUUAGCAGAUGUAAAAUCAGCACCAGCCGAUCCAGCAGUGCCUUUCCAAAGUAUGUAACGUCGUGUCAUUUGAAAAUGCAAAGCAGUUGUUUCAACGUGGAAUUUCUAUUCCCAAGGACCUGGUGAAUGGGGAUUUUUGCUCCUUCGAUUAGAGGAUUUGCUGUCUGUCUAGCUGUAUUUUCCUUGGCUUCGGCGUAUUGCAGCUAGGUCAAGGUAUGUGUGGAAGACCAGGAGACAAAGUGAUUUAUCAGAGGUGAUUUGCUCUUUGCUGGUGACAGACCAUCUGCAACUUCUUGGAAGCUCACGGUGAGAAGAGCCAUUGCUACUGCUGUUAAAAUGUGUUGUGUAUAAGAGUAGUGGGAAGUGCAAAUGACUCAUUUCUUAAUUAGAAACGAUGCUAAUGUUUUAGGUUUUCCCCAAAGAUGAAAUGGCCAAACACACAGUGCUGCACCUUGUGCAGGUGACUGCUGCCUCUCCCCGUGCCAUGGGUGCAGGUACUGCUGCAUUGCAAGCAAAUCCAUAUCAGUACUGCAGUAUGUUUCUUGCUCCGCAUUAGAAGUCUUUGAAGGGAAAACAUGUGUUAUUAAGUAAUAUCAGGAUUAUUGAUAUUGUCUGUUUGAACCACAUUAGCAUCUGCUCAGUAAUCUCUAAACGCUGUUACAUUUCAACAGUGUACUGUAACAAAUUAAAGUGAAACUUAAAUAUAUGUUUGAUAGGAUCCCAGUUGUGGAAUGCGUUUCAGCCCUGUUUUCAUUAUUCCUCAGUGUAUACCUUGCUGAAAAGCGUUAUUCAUCCCCAUUAGACAAAUGUAGUCGGAAUUGUUGCAAUUACGUGCCACACAUCAGCACUUGCUUGUUUCCUUUCUUAUUAGAAAUGCGAUGUGCACUGAAACCUGGUAGCAUCUGAAAGGGUGAAAACAGGUAUCAAAAGCAAAUGAAAGAUUUCAUAGAAGAGUACUAGAGCAUAUCUUGCAAAGCAUCACUUCGCAGAGCAGAUCUACAGAAGCUGGACCCAGGCACAUAUUUUCAAAUGAAGCCCCCUGGCACACUGAGGCUGCUUUUUGUGACCUAAUGGUGUUUUUAAAUGGAUGGAUUUAACUAGAGAGGUUUUCUUGCACAUGACCUUUAAAAGAGAAAAAGAACAAUGUUAGCAUUCAACCCAAACCCUGUAGUCUGUCACUUUGUAUACCAUAUCAUUACUAGCAAAAUUUAAAGGAAAACUGCACCCAUUUUGCUCAGCCCAGCAAUAGGAAAGUUCACAGGCUAAGAAGCACUUGUCACCAUUUUUUAAAUUACAAUUGGCAUUCCCGAGGAGGCAGCCAUUUUACUGAAAUAUGAUCCAUCUAUUCUCCCUCUGCCAGGCUGGCCAGGCAGCCAGUAGGAUUAUGAAUCUGACACACUUCUGGUGGGGAAGUGCCACCUGAAUUGCAAAACCAUGCAAUUGUCCAGAGAUGCUGCUCUCCCUUCAUGGUGAGCAGGGUGGCACGUGGAUAACGAAACACAUUUCCUCCUCCGGAAGAAAUCAAGCUGUUGCAGUGUGAGUUUAGACAAUCCCAUGAGAAGUUUGGUAUGCUAGGGCUUUUUCAUGAUUGUGCUUUUGCUUUUUCUGAAUGCGCCCUUUGGUUAAAAUCUACUGAUACCUUGGAUGGAGUGGUUAAGAAAGCAUAUUUUCACCUGGAAAGAAAUCAUAAACCAACAGUGAUGUUGAUGGGAGCUGCUAAAAGAGCAACCUUGUGCCCCUAUUUUGUUCCAGUGUCCUGAUAAUUUGCAGCAAUCCUGCUGGACACGCAUUUUUGAAGGCCAACUUUUUUGCUUCUAAUGUUCUACUUUUUUUUAGUUUAUGUUGUUGCAUGUAUGGACUCCAAGUAAAACAGAGUUGUCGGCUGUUCAGUAUUGCAAACACAAAAUGCAACUCUGACUCUUCCAUGCGGAGCUCACAGUCUAGGUGAACAAGUCAGAGAAAAAGUUCCAAAGGAACACCACACAUUAAAUGAGCAAUGGUUGGAAGAGACCAUGAAAUGAAUGAUAUGCAGGUUAAAUAACUCGUGUCACAUGAGUUGCCUAGCUUUGAUGUGCUGUUCAUGCCUUGUGUUGUGCAGAAGAUCAGAAUGCUGUACCUUGACCUUCUGGAGUUCAUUGCAGUUCAUCUUCAGUCCCACGUUCAGCAAAUUGCUGAAAAAGGGAGCAAGUGUGUAGCUCACCAUGACUCAGGCUGUACCCGCUGGGAAGAGGUGUGACCUCAUGGACAGCUGACAUGGAAGAAAGAAUAUCAGACUGUGGAUACCAUUUGGAAACCCAAGAACACCACCACCUUGACAUAAAUCCACAUAAGCCAGAGGAAUUAUAGCUUUUGUUUCCUUGGAAAAAGAGGGGGAAAAAAAAAAAAAGAGAAGAGAAGAGAAGAGAAGAGAAGAGAAGAGAAGAGAAGAGAAGAGAAGAGAAGAGAAGAGAAGAGAAGAGAAGAGAAGAGAAGAGAAGAGAAGAGAAGAGAAGAGAAGAGAAGAGAAGAGAAGAGAAGAGAAGAGAAGAGAAGAGAAGAGAAGAGAAGAGAAGAGAAGAGAAGAGAAGAGAAGAGAAGAGAAGAGAAAAAAAGAAAAAUAACAUAAAAAAAAGAAAAAGAAUGUCCAUUUGAAUAAACAGUGAUAAUAAUUUUAUCUGAAUAAAUCUUUAAUAAAUUGAAAUUAUUACUGCAGGCUUAAAUAAGCGGUAAGAUUUGACAAGAAGGGCAUUAUCAUCUAAUUAUACUUACUUUAUGAAAGAGAGGGGCAAGGGCCAACCUGUGAGCUGUCUGAACUGCAGUAAUAGAGUGAUCCCCUCUGCAGACUAAAGAAGGAGCCAUCAGACAACAAUAACACACAAGCGGUGCACUGAACGUUGCAGUGGAAACCAUGAUUCACAGAUACACUGUCUUAAUUGUUACGGAAGCGAGUAGAGUGGUACGGAAAGUGCAUGGCAGAGCAGCCUUUGCUGGAUGGAUGAGAGGAUCCCGUGCCAGAUAUUAUAUGAUACUCCUGAAGGUUUCUUUAAUUAUCAGCAGUCAGUGCUGUGUGUGAGCUUCCUAUUGGCUCAGCGCUCAGCAUAAAGCCGCGUAUCUGCAUUGCAAACAGGUGUACAGGUAGAACUGGUACGUAAAUUACCUUCUUCCUGAGGGCAUCUGCCUUCCUAGGAACACUUAAGAAAUGCUGAGAAGACACCUGUGAGCGGCUCUAUUGGUGUCUCAUAUUCUGCUGUUGGCACUGGAUUAUAAAGAGCUGUGCCCACUGAAACAUCUUGCCUUUCUCAUACGAGCAGUGGGAAAAAACAGGGAAUCAAUAAACGGAAAAAUCAUUGCCUGCUAAUGUUCACAAUCUCUUUGAACGUUGGAUUUGUUUGGCAAAUAGGACUGACUUGUUUAAAACCUCCACAUGAGACAUUUAUUUCACAGAGAGCAAAAAAGAAGAGUGAUCAUCAUAAUCUGCUGGAAUUAACAACCUAGCAUAGCUCUUGGCUUAGAUUAACUGCUGCAUUUAUGGUGUACUCCAAAAAGCAGUUCUCUUGUGUAUGUACAGACUGUUUUGUUUUGCAUAUUUACAUUUUUUAUUUAUGAACUGUUAAUCUCAGCCCUCCCUAGAUUAUGUCCUUAUGAUACAUAUUUUUUCAUACUCACCUGGCGACAUAUGAGCUUUUCUCAUUAGAAUCUUGUCUCACUUAGCACUUAGGUUGGAACAACACCAUGCAGCAGGGAAAGGCACUGUCUUUCAUCCCCUGCAGAAGUCCAUCCAUCCUUCUCAGCCCUCGUAGACAGGCCUGAGCCAUUUUGGUCACCGCAAGCAAGGAGCUCCAGGCUGCGGUGGGGACAGCACACACACAGGCAGGACAGUGAGGGAGUGCAGAACUUUGGGAGGCUCUUCCAGAGCUGCACAAUGAAGAGAAGGCCAUGGACAAAGUAAUGACUUCUCCACUCUGUCUUUUGAAAACAGCUUGGCAACUCUGGUGGGAUCAUCCCCAAACAGUGCAGCAUGCAGCAGAUAUUGAGCAGGUUCAUUGAGGCCAGACUCUGAUAUCAAAGGUGAUAUGAGUGACUGACAUGGCCACACCACCACGGCAGCGUGGAGGGCUAUGGUCACACACACUCCCCCAUUGUUUCCCAGGAGCAGUCAUAUCUCACCUUACCUCCCAGGGCUCAGAAGGAAGGCUAGAAAUAGAAACAUAUUACAGAUGUGCACUGGGGAUGUGGUUGGGCUUAGUUUCUGUUCCUUUCCCCGUUGCAAGGGCUAAGCAUGCUUUUGCAUUUCUGAAGGCUGGGACUGGCCGCUGUGAGCAUAAAUCAUGAUGGUAUGGUAAAAAACUGUGAACAGCGAGGUCCUUAAAAAAGAGAUGUUCAGACACCUUCAUCUGAAGUAACAGAAGAUGCCCCGCAGUUACUGUACACACUAGGUGUCAGUUUGCCUAGAUGUUGCUGCUUUCAUACAGCCUUUGGUACUUAAAUUCUCUCAUUUUGUAUAUAAUUCCCUAUAACGUGCCAACACUGCAGCCAAUAUAACUUCAUGUCUUUUUUCACUUGUGCCAGAAAGCUGAACAAGUGGGAUGAGGUUACGCUAAGCAAGAAGGAGAUCACUGGCAAGAAAGAUCUCAAAAGUUCACAGAAAAGCAAGAGAAAAAGAGACACAAAAAGAUCUUGUCAAGAAGAAUGCUCAGAGCACCAAGUUAUAUCUCCCUCGACAUAAACACAUACAGACAAAAAUGACUCACUGUGAGUCAGAGAGAGGGGUUUUAUUUACACCACAGAACUUGGAAAUAACAUUGCUGCCGAUUCUGUUCUGUUCAGUGAUGGUGGGUAUAAGCACAAGGCUGCUAACACUUCUGUAUGAAUCAACGUUUUAAAAUCACUCCUCCCUUCAGUCAGAACUGUUUUCUCGCUUAUGUGAAUUAACCUACCGAACUGGCACAUGAAAUAGUCUGUUUCAGUAUCUAUUACUGAAUAUGUUUUGGCCUGGAUCCCUACAGCAGUUAGGAGCUUGAGUUGUACUGAAAUCACUGAGCAGAGGGGGAAAAAGAAAGUAUUAUUCCUGCUCUUUUCUCUGAGUAACUUUCAGACCAUGACCUGUGGCCAAGCUUUGUGGGAGAAUCUGUCCUGGCACCCUCCUCCAUGGAGGUCCUGUGUGUGGGACACAGCAGUGAGGGAGAAGCAGGGCUGGGAGGUGCUGUGAGCAUGGGACAGAAUACACCUGGAUAGAAUACGUCCCUACUCUUUGUGAGGAGUGAACUGAGAUGUGCUCAUCUUUGACAAGGUGGAUACAUUUCUCCUAGAAAGAAAACACUUUUUGAUCUAGAAAAAACAUCUGAGCUGCUGAGAAAUAUUUUGAUAGAUGUUUCGUUGCCAUCCCUACCAGUCAUUCAUGUCCAACAUGUCCCCUGCCGCCAUAACAGAACAGCAAUACUUCACAAUGGCAAGUCCAGAUGCAUUUUGAAUGGGUGCUCUAUGGCUGGUGAUGUCUCCUGCUUGCCUCCCAGCUCCUACAGCCCCCUGUAAGACAGCAUGGUGAUGAGUCUGUUGUUGGAAUUUGGGACAGGCAGGGGACAUCACACAUUCGGCAGUAGAAAAGCUUUUCUUCUGUUCUCCUACAGAGGAACUCUCAACAAUUAUUUUUUUCUAAACAAAAUAUGAAGUUUGGGGCAAAUAUUUAGGGUGCAUUCAGAUGCCAAGUGUAAAGAGUGGGUGAGAAGGUGUGAUGUCUACAAACAGAGCCAGUACGCAAAACACUCAGUUAUGGACAUGGCCAAGGUAAAUAGGACUGCUGAAACUGUCUUAGCCCCCCACCGUCCUCAUGUGUGGGUUUAUAUGUGCCAGCAGAGCCAGGUUAACCUUAAUUGUGUGUUGUUUAACUUGGCUGUAAACGGCCAACCCUUUUUCUAACUUGGCUCCAAUUGCAGGUAUCACACCUUUCCACUACUGACCUUUCUUGUCUAAAUUGUUUUUUUAAUGCAUAUUAAAUAUUUUUGAUCUACUUUAAUUUCCUAUGGCUUUUUACUGCAGAAAAUGUUACAGAAAAUAUUUCUUCUGAUAGAAAGACAUAUUUUAAUAGCAAAAGUCUUACGUUCUCAAUAGCUGGGCAGGUGAGCAGGUUGUAGAAUCUGGUUCUUUCUGAAGGAAGUAGUGUCAGAAAACCUCACUGAAAUCUGAUGUACUGUUUUUUUCAGUGCAUUCAUUGGCAGAAGUAACAGGAGUGCAACUUCGUCACAGCUGCUAAGUAAGAAAAAUAUUUGAACUGUAAUAACUGAUCGGUAAUUCUUAUUUUCCUUUCAGCAUCGUGUUUCUUAAUAAUGGCUUUAAUAUGUCAACAGUUUGUUAAUGUGAUACUCUGAAAUUUUGAGAAGAUAAAAUGUUUCUCCUUUGGAAGGUAGAAUAUUAAAAACGUGUCCCAUUUAAUUGCCUUUUCUGACAGUUUUAUCUGCAUGCUCCGUGUAACAGAGGUAUUAUAAUUGCUGGUUGACAAAAGGUUUUU